GUUGAGGGACGGUUUGUUGAUUUUUUUUGGAAUAGGGUGUGGUACCUUUUGCAUCAUGAUUCGCUGAAGUAGUGUUAAGAAGUUAGAGGCUCGAAGGGUCACGAUUAUCAUUCAAUAUGUUUGGGACGUUAUAGCUAGGUGGGUAAUUUUCUAGAUAGUUGUUUGAAGUGUUGAAAAAUAAUUCGUGUGAUCUAAUAGCUAGUUGGGAAGGAGUUUUGUAUGUUAUGUUUUAUUGCGAAGCGGUGAUAAAAUAGUUAAGAAAUAGAUUAUGAUGUGGUGAAGGACUUAAGGUCAGAGUUACCUUUGGUUUAGUAGUAUGUUAUUAUAAGUUGUUUGUAGUGUUAUUGUUUUUAGUUGUGUACUUUCUUAUAUUAAUUAGUUGAUGAUUAAUGGUGGAAUAAGUAGAAUUGGUAAUACCUCCUUUUUUUCUCGGUGCUUGUCGGUCUGUUUUUCAAAAACAUUUCCAUUUGUGGUGGUUAAAUGGUAGGACCUGCCCUAUGUUUGUAUAAAUGGC
rnacentral:rRNA from 1 species